rnacentral:rRNA from 1 species
AGUGAACGCUGGCGGUAGGCCUAACACAUGCAAGUCGAACGGCAGCACAGUAAGAGCUUGCUCUUACGGGUGGCGAGUGGCGGACGGGUGAGGAAUACAUCGGAAUCUACUUUUUCGCGGGGGAUAACGUAGGGAAACUUACGCUAAUACCGCAUACGACCUACGGGUGAAAGCAGGGGAUCUUCGGACCUUGCGCGAUUGAAUGAGCCGAUGUCGGAUUAGCUAGUUGGCGGGGUAAAGGCCCACCAAGGCGACGAUCCGUAGCUGGUCUGAGAGGAUGAUCAGCCACACUGGAACUGAGACACGGUCCAGACCCCUACGGGAGGCAGCAGUGGGGAAUAUUGGACAAUGGGCGCAAGCCUGAUCCAGCCAUACCGCGUGGGUGAAGAAGGCCUUCGGGUUGUAAAGCCCUUUUGUUGGGAAAGAAAAGCAGCAGGUUAAUACCCCGCUGUUCUGACGGUACCCAAAGAAUAAGCACCGGCUAACUUCGUG